AAUCAACGCUGGCGGCGUGCCUCAGACAUGCAAGUCGAACGAUUAAAGCUCCCUUCGGGGAGUGCAUAAAGUGGCGCACGGGUGAGUAACACGUAAGUAAUCUACCCUCGAGUGGGGAAUAACGUCCGGAAACGGACGCUAAUACCGCAUAAUGCAGCGGCACCGCAAGGUGACAGUUGUUAAAGAUUUAUCGCUUGAGGAGGAGCUUGCGGCAGAUUAGCUAGUUGGUAAGGUAAUGGCUUACCAAGGCCGCGAUCUGUAACCGGUCUAAGAGGACGGUCGGUCACACUGACACUGAAUAACGGGUCAGACUCCUACGGGAGGCAGCAGUCGGGAAUUUUGGGCAAUGGGCGAAAGCCUGACCCAGCAACGCCGCGUGAAGGAUGAAGUAUUUCGGUAUGUAAACUUCGAAAGAAUGGGAAGAAUAAAUGACGGUACCAUUUAUAAGCUCCGGCUAACUACGUGCCAGCCGCCGCAGUAAUAC
rnacentral:rRNA from 1 species